CCUGCCCAAGAGAUCGGGAUAACACCUGGAAACAGAUGCUAAUACCGGAUAACAACAGAUGAUGCCUAUCAACUGUUUAAAAGAUGGUUCUGCUAUCACUCUUGGAUGGACCUGCGGUGCAUUAGCUAGUUGGUAGGGUAACGGCCUACCAAGGCGAUGAUGCAUAGCCGAGUUGAGAGACUGAUCGGCCACAUUGGGACUGAGACACGGCCCAAACUCCUACGGGAGGCAGCAGUG
rnacentral:rRNA from 1 species